UUUUAAAAAAAUUUGCAAUGUUCUUUUCAGCAAAAUAAAACUCUUUAACAGUUUGUGUGUCACAUACAGCUUAAGUGUGGUAUAAUUUAUGUAUAAUAACAGCAUCUUUUAAAUGAAUAAAAUGAUGAUGAACCCAUCACCAUAUUAAGACAGUAAAUACACUCAUCACUCCUUAAAGUUUCCUCCUGUUUGAUUUUAACCCAUCUGUCCUCCCGCUCCUCCAUGAGGAGAUACUUGAGGGGUAUGCUUACCUCCUGCAGGCUGGUUUAGGGUUUCUAAAGAUGACUCUGUAACAGAAAUAUUGUAAAGGUCUUUGAGGAUCCUCAUUAUCUCCAAUAUUAUUUCAGCUAAUGCGUAUUCUGCCAGACCUCUUCCAUCUUGGGCCUGGCGAUUUUGGAAUGCUGUGGACGUUGACAGUCGUUACAACUUUCUUCAGAAUAUGUGCGUAUGCUGCUUUCCUCUGGAGAUCUGUCCUUGCUGUAAAAGCAGAAGUAGGAGGACCUUCCUGAUUCCUGGGAACACCCAGCAUGCUGAACCCAGUGGGGUGCCCAUGCAUGGGUGCUGGACCAGGUGCACCUCCUCUGGCGUGGUCACCUACGAUGCCUCAGCCUGCACUACAUGAGGCAGGAUCUGCAGCCGGGAGCUUCUUCGUGCCAAAGGAGGAGGAAGGCCAGGAGAGCGAGGGCAAGGUGAGCGUGCGGUCCGGCGGGCCGGCCACAUCGCGAGGACCAGCCUGCAUGCCCAACGCCACGGGCGUCGCGGCGGCCACGAGCUCGGGGCCGCCAGCCCCUCCUGCGGCCGGGGGGCCUCUGAGCCAUCCGCCCUCGCCUCCACCUGCCCCCCGCGGAUUGGGAUUUUUUUGGAUAUUUUUCAAAGAAUUACACCCAAGCAUUUCAUGCAUGCCCACACUUAAAUCCCCAGCUUGUCGUUAUUACUGCCUACCUGCAAAUUGCUCUAUUGGCCAUUUACUGCUGGAAGAAGCUCUU
rnacentral:lncRNA from 1 species